UUUCCUUGCCUCGCAUUUGGUUCCCACAAGAAAGAUGGGAUGAAAAGGGAAUGCGGUGCCAACCACUGGUGUUGAAAGCCGCAACUGCCCCCGCAACUGUAGGCGAUGAGCCAAAGCUCGCAAAAGGCCACUGAGCGUCACAGCUUGGGAAGGCGGAGCAUGAGGCGAUGACCCGCAAGUCAGGAGACCUGCCGAAUGCCGUCACUAUCC
rnacentral:ncRNA from 2 species